rnacentral:lncRNA from 13 species
AUCAAUCGGAUGAAGAGCACUGAUGCGUCCAUUUUUUAUAAAUGUAAAUCAACUUUGAUAUCAGUUUAACUGACUCUUUAUCUCUUUAUAAUUUCAGGAACUAAACAGAAAAAAUAAAAGAGUGGACGAGUCAUACAUUGGAGUAACGGCGAGACUUAUCCGUCGCUUAGCUCGCACAUUGAACAAAAUGUUCGACGUAAUAUAUUUUACGAGGCACUGAAUGUAUCUUAGCGGUUGAUAAUUGUUGUCGUUUCGGCACGCUGUUUACGGCGAAAGGUAACCGCGUGCUCAUUCACCAACCGACAUUCAAAUGUAAGCCGCGGUGUAAAGUCGAGUGUUAUUAUUGUUCGCUGAAGAGAAGCGGACCGAUGCACAAUUGGAAACAGGAAUUACAAAUUAUCAUAAAGACUAUUCAUUAGGGAUUGAAGUUUACGAAUUGAAAAUUAGAAUUGGAAAUUAGAUAAUUUUUACUUUUUACGUGGAUUGGACAAAAAAUUAAGUAAGAAUUAUGAAACAUAAAAAAAACAUAAAUUCUGAUAUUAAAAAUCAUAUGAUAGAGUUUGAUCAUAUAUUCGAAUGGAAUAACGUGGAAAUUCUGGAUUUAGAAUCAAAUUAUUAACAUCUAAAAUGAUCCACAUUAAAGCCUGAAAGAACGAAAUUAAUUCUAAUGAAGACACUAAAUUUUUAGACGAGGGUUUAGCGUUUUCAUCCAGGUUUAAUAUUUCACAUAUUUACAC